GAGUUUGAUCAUGGCUCAGAUUGAACGCUGGCGGCAGGCUUAACACAUGCAAGUCGAGCGGGGGAGAUUGCUUCGGUAAUUGACCUAGCGGCGGACGGGUGAGUAAUACUUAGGAAUCUGCCUAUUAAUGGGGGGACAACAUCUCGAAAAGGGAUGCUAAUACCGGCAUACGCCCUACGGGGAAGGCAGGGGAUCACUUGUGA
rnacentral:rRNA from 1 species